GGAUUAGAUACCCUGGUAGUCUAUGCCGUAAACGAUGGAUACUAGUUGGUGCGGGUAUUGACCCCUGCGCUGACGAAGCUAACGCAUUAAGUAUCCCGCCUGGGGAGUACGGCCGCAAGGCUAAAACUCAAAGGAAUUGACGGGGGCCCGCACAAGCGGUGGAGCAUGUGGAUUAAUUCGAAGCAACGCGCAGAACCUUACCAGGCCUUGACUUGUAUUUGUAUGCAGCCCAAAAGCUGCGGACCUUCGGGAACAUUUACACAGGUGCUGCAUGGCUGUCGUCAGCUCGUGCCG
rnacentral:rRNA from 1 species